rnacentral:rRNA from 1 species
AGCAGCCGCGGUAAUUCCAGCUCCAAUAGCGUAUAUUAAAGUUGCUGCAGUUAAAAAGCUCGUAGUUGAAUUUCGGGACCAUCAUGUUGGUCGUGCCUAGGUACGUACUGGCAUUGUUGGUUUCUUCCUUCUGACGAACCAUGAUGUCAUUUAUUUGGUGUCGUGGGAAAUCAGGACUGUUACUUUGAAAAAAUUAGAGUGUUUAAAGCAGGCUCACGCUUGAAUACAUUAGCAUGGAAUAAUGAAAUAGGACGUUUGAUUCUAUUUUGUUGGUUUCUAGGAUCGACGUAAUGAUUAAUAGGGAUAGUUGGGGGCAUUAGUAUUCAAUUGUCAGAGGUGAAAUUCUUGGAUUUAUUGAAGACUAACUACUGCGAAAGCAUUUGCCAAGGAUGUUUUCAUUAAUCAAGAACGAAAGUUAGGGGAUCGAAGACGAUCAGAUACCGUCGUAGU